AAAUUGAAGAGUUUGAUCAUGGCUCAGAUUGAACGCUGGCGGCAGGCCUAACACAUGCAAGUCGAACGGUAACAGGAAGAAGCUUGCUUCUUUGCUGACGAGUGGCGGACGGGUGAGUAAUGUCUGGGAAACUGCCUGAUGGAGGGGGAUAACUACUGGAAACGGUAGCUAAUACCGCAUAACGUCGCAAGACCAAAGAGGGGGACCUUCGGGCCUCUUGCCAUCGGAUGUGCCCAGAUGGGAUUAGCUAGUAGGUGGGGUAACGGCUCACCUAGGCGACGAUCCCUAGCUGGUCUGAGAGGAUGACCAGCCACACUGGAACUGAGACACGGUCCAGACUCCUACGGGAGGCAGCAGUGGGGAAUAUUGCACAAUGGGCGCAAGCCUGAUGCAGCGAUGCCGCGUGUAUGAAGAAGGCCUU
rnacentral:rRNA from 1 species